rnacentral:rRNA from 1 species
GACGAACGCUGGCGGCGUGCUUAACACAUGCAAGUCGAACGGAAAGGCCCUGCUUUUGUGGGGUGCUCGAGUGGCGAACGGGUGAGUAACACGUGAGUAACCUGCCCUUGACUUUGGGAUAACUUCAGGAAACUGGGGCUAAUACCGGAUAGGAGCUCCUGCUGCAUGGUGGGGGUUGGAAAGUUUCGGCGGUUGGGGAUGAACUCGCGGCUUAUCAGCUUGUUGGUGGGGUAGUGGCUUACCAAGGCUUUGACGGGUAGCCGGCCUGAGAGGGUGACCGGCCUCAUUGGGACUGAGAUACGGCCCAGACUCCUACGGGAGGCAGCAGUGGGGAAUAUUGCACAAUGGGCGGAAGCCUGAUGCAGCAACGCCGCGUGCGGGAUGACGGCCUUCGGGUUGUAAACCGCUUUCGCCUGUGACGAAGCGUGAGUGACGGUAAUGGGUAAAGAAGCAUCGGCUAACUACGUG